rnacentral:rRNA from 1 species
GUUAAAAAGCUCGUAGUUGGAUUUCGGAGUGGGCCAGUUGGUCCGCCGCAAGGUGUGUUACUGACUGGUCUGCUCUUCUUCGCAAAGACUGCGUGUGCUCUUUGUUGAGUGUGCGUAGGAUUUACGACGUUUACUUUGAAAAAAUUAGAGUGUUCAAAGCAGGCUAUUGCUUGAAUACAUGAGCAUGGAAUAAUGGAAUAGGACUUUGGUCCCAUUUUGUUGGUUUCUAGGACCGAAGUAAUGAUUAAGAGGGACAAUUGGGGGCAUCCGUAUUUCGUUGUCAGAGGUGAAAUUCUUGGAUUUACGAAAGACGAACAACUGCGAAAGUACUUGCCAAGAGUGUUUUCAUUAAUCAAGAACGAAAGUUAGAGGAUCGUAGACGAUCAGAUACCGUCCUAGUUCUAACCAUAAACGAUGUCGACUAGGGAUCAGCGGGCGUUAUCGUACGACCCCGUUGGCACCUUACGGGAAACCAAAGUUUCUGGAUUCUGGGGGAAGUAUAGUCGCAAGGCCGAAACUUAAAGGAAUUGACGGAAGGGCACCACCAGGAGUGGAGCCUGUGGCUCAAUUUGACUCAACACGGGAAAACUUACCAGGUCCAGACAUAAGUAAGGAUUGACAGGGUUGAGAGCCCCUUUCU